AUUGAACGCUGGCGGCAGGCCUAACACAUGCAAGUCGAGCGGAUGAAGGGAGCUUGCUCCUGGAUUCAGCGGCGGACGGGUGAGUAAUGCCUAGGAAUCUGCCUGGUAGUGGGGGAUAACGUCCGGAAACGGGCGCUAAUACCGCAUACGUCCUGAGGGAGAAAGUGGGGGAUCUUCGGACCUCACGCUAUCAGAUGAGCCUAGGUCGGAUUAGCUAGUUGGUGGGGUAAAGGCCUACCAAGGCGACGAUCCGUAACUGGUCUGAGAGGAUGAUCAGUCACACUGGAACUGAGACACGGUCCAGACUCCUACGGGAGGCAGCAGUGGGGAAUAUUGGACAAUGGGCGAAAGCCUGAUCCAGCCAUGCCGCGUGUGUGAAGAAGGUCUUCGGAUUGUAAAGCACUUUAAGUUGGGAGGAAGGGCAGUAAGUUAAUACCUUGCUGUUUUGACGUUACCAAAAGAAUAAGCACCGGCUAACUUCGUG
rnacentral:rRNA from 1 species